GCAGCUGCCUCUGCUUGAGCAAGCUCCCUAUCUCUGCAGGGCUCCCUUCUGCCUCCAGUGAACAGUGAUAAUAUCACUUUCCUGCCUCCCAAGAUUGCUAAGAACUGAAGCUCUGGGCUCCUCUGAGGAAGCAAAGAAGUUGAACAUUUGAGAUGAGUACCCCAAAAACCUCAUGGGAUCUACACCACAUUCUUGAAACCUCAUCUUCAGGCUGGUUAAUCCACGUUUGUCCCUAAGCUGUUUGGGACUCUCCAUGCUGCUCGGAGUCCCU